CGCGUAGGCGGGAUGGCAAGUCGGUCGUGAAAUCCUUCGGCUCAACCGAAGAACGUCGGCCGAUACUGCCGUUCUUGAGGGAUGCAGAGGAGAUUGGAAUUCCCGGUGUAGCGGUGAAAUGUGUAGAGACCGGGAAGAACACCAGUGGCGAAGGCGGCUACCUGGACAGGUACUGACGCUGAAGCGCGAAAGCUAGGGGAGCAAACA
rnacentral:rRNA from 1 species